ACCACGGUAAUUCGCGGGGUGACCCUGU
rnacentral:piRNA from 1 species